rnacentral:lncRNA from 1 species
CAGAGACUGAAGAUUUAGGAAUGUUGAGAUGAAAAAGAAGAUUGACUUCUUUUAUUAGAAGAUCUACUUUAGAACAGGGGGGGCAACAUGAUUCACAGGUUAAAUUUUGGUGUGAAUGACUGCACAGAAAACUAAAUU